UCCUACGGGAGGCAGCAGUAAGGAAUAUUGGUCAAUGGACGCAAGUCUGAACCAGCCAUGCCGCGUGAAGGAUGAAGGUCCUCUGGAUUGUAAACUUCUUUUAUAGGGGGCGAAAAAAGGGAAUUCUU
rnacentral:rRNA from 1 species